rfam:Hydnomerulius pinastri MD-312 unplaced genomic scaffold scaffold_10, whole genome shotgun sequence.
GGCCAGAUGGCCGAGCGGUCCAAGGCGUGUGACUCAAGCUUACUAAGCUUGCCUGCUUAAGCGGGUUUCUCAUCUUCGUAUGAAGGCAGGAGUUCGAAUCUCCUUCUGGUCA